rnacentral:tRNA from 1 species
UAUAUAAAUUUGGCAGAAAAAUGCAUUAGGUUUAGAACCUAAGAAUAGGAUUAAAUUUCCUAAUUU